rnacentral:rRNA from 1 species
UAGAGUUUGAUCCUGGCUCAGGACGAACGCUGGCGGCGUGCCUAACACAUGCAAGUCGAACGAUCUACAUUUUUGUAGAUAGUGGCGGACGGGUGAGUAACGCGUGAACAAUCUGCCCUAUACAAAGGAAUAGCCUCGGGAAACCGGGAUUAAAACCAUAUGAAGCUUUUGUGUCGCAUGACUGAGAAGUCAAAUUGAUUAAGAGGUAUAGGAUGAGUUCGCGUCUGAUUAGCUAGUUGGUGAGGUAAUGGCUCACCAAGGCGACGAUCAGUAGCCGGCCUGAGAGGGUGAACGGCCACACUGGAACUGAGACACGGUCCAGACUCCUACGGGAGGCAGCAGUGGGGAAUAUUGCACAAUGGGCGAAAGCCUGAUGCAGCGACGCCGCGUGAGUGAAGAAGGUCUUCGGAUCGUAAAACUCUGUCCUUGGGGAAGAUAAUGACGGUACCCAAGGAGGAAGCCCCGGCUAACUACGUGCCAGCAGCCGCGGUAAUACGUAGGGGGCGAGCGUUGUCCGGAUUUACUGGGCGUAAAGGGUGAGUAGGCGGUUAUUUAAGUCAGAUGUAAAAGGCUAUGGCUCAACUAUAGUAAGCAUUUGAAACUGGAUAACUUGAGUGCAGGAGAGGUAAGUGGAAUUCCUAGUGUAGCGGUGAAAUGCGUAGAUAUUAGGAGGAACACCAGUGGCGAAGGCGACUUACUGGACUGUAACUGACGCUGAGUCACGAAAGCGUGGGUAGCAAACAGGAUUAGAUACCCUGGUAGUCCACGCCGUAAACGAUGAGUACUAGGUGUUGGGUAGCGAUACUCAGUGCCGCAGUAAACGCAAUAAGUACUCCGCCUGG